rnacentral:rRNA from 1 species
UACCAGCACCCCCGAGUGGUCGGGACGAUUAUUGGGCCUAAAGCAUCCGUAGCCGGUUCUACAAGUCUUCCGUUAAAUCCAACUGCUUAACAGGUGGGCUGCGGAAGAUACUAUAGAGCUAGGAGGCGGGAGAGGCAAGCGGUACUCGAUGGGUAGGGGUAAAAUCCGUUGAUCCAUUGAAGACCACCAGUGGCGAAGGCGGCUUGCCAGAACGCGCUCGACGGUGAGGGAUGAAAGCUGGGGGAGCAACCAGGG